GUAAAUAAUACAGAAAGAAGAUCAAGCAUUUUCACUGUUGGGUAAUGCCCUUAUUUUGCACAUGUUGGGUUAUGGAACAGACGACAUAAAGUCCAUUUCUUUGCUACUGUAUGUGGUAAGGAUGAGUACUCAUGAGCAUGUGGUGGAGGGAACAGUCACUCCCUUUAACUUGGUGGUUUUCCUACUGGUAAGACACUACAGCUAGGAGGAGCUCACAAAGUGAUUGAGCUAGAAGCUUUACAGUCAAGAUCAGAAAGGAGUUUUAAAGGAAGAAAUGUGGUGAAAACAGAAAUAAAGGGCAAAUAAAUUGAAUUAAUGGUCAAAAUGCUAUUUUAACAGAAUUGAGCUCCCAGUGCUACUCAAAUGUAAUCACGGUAACUGAUUUAGUAAAGCUAUAGCAAAAUACACUGUCUACAAGCAUUAAGUAAGUAUGUAUAAAUACAGGAAACUUCUUAAUUCACGGGUGCCACAUGGAUGAGCCCAUGGGUAUGUGCUGAGCAACUGAGUGGCUCAGCUCUGUCAGGACAGCUGUUCCCUCAGCCAGGGAACCCAGGCCAGCUGAUGCUCCUGGAGCAGUCCCAGUGGGUCCAGUUCCACAUGGAGAAGAAAAGGAGGCUGUGAUGCCCUCCGUCUACAGCUCAAGGCAAAAGGACGUGGGUUGGUGAGUUCUGCUUUGUGGGUUAUCAGCUAUCUUCCUCGUGUCCCUUAUGCAUGUGUCCAAGGAGUGCCCUCUGAUCAUGUGUCUGUGGUCACUGCUGCAAGGUCCAAGGGAAAGUCAGUUUUCAGAAAUGAAAGGCAAGUCUUGUCUGAAGACGAAAGCUAAGCACGGACAGCUUAAAACAUAUGGAUCUCUUCUUAUUUUUCCUCUCUGAGACAGGUUUCUGAGGCUGCAUAUAUCAUGCUACUCAGGCACGUUGAUAGUAAGCACAGUAUAAACAUUUAAUGCACAUAAAGAGGUUUCAAAUGCUAAUACAAGUGAGUAUUUAUGAAAGCAUAAGUGCUGGAAGUGUUUUUAUGGCCAAUUUGAAAAGCUGUUAAUAACAAAGUGGCCAAUCUGUUCCAUGGGUAAGGGAUCUGAAGACCAGAUGGCCUGAUUUACUUUUCAGCUCCAGCUGCAAGAUGUGUAGGUAAGCUUCAGGCCACGCUUAUAAAGGACUGGGAGUUUUCCUUGGAACCAGAGUAAGAGCGGCUGGCUCGUUUUGCCUCUCCUAGGUCAUUACAGUCUGUUUCAAUGAGGAGAAACCUCUUGUUUUAUGUUUCUUUAUACAUUUUUUGCAUCUGAAAGAUAAUUAUGUUUGACAGUCAUCUUUUCUGAUUUGAAAAUCCAGGCUACAUGUUUAUAUGACUUACACUGGAGAUUGAGUACAGUCUGAUUGAACCUGGUGAGUUGGCUUACUGUCGUUAUUAUAAAUAACUGCAAUCUGGCAUCUAGAAUAUUAGAAAAAGCAAACGGUUAUAGCAGCGUGAGUUAGGAUGCAGUACAGUUGUGCCUAGGAGAGAAGUGAGAAAAGCCUGCAGUGAAAGCCCGGCCUGGGAAGAUCGCAGAGCAUGUCCUCUUAGAAUCCACUUCUGAGCAUGAGAAGGACAAGGAAGCAACCAGGACUCAUAGAAUCACAGAAUCACAGAAUGGUUUGGGCAGGA